rnacentral:rRNA from 1 species
AUUGAACGCUGGCGGCAGGCCUAACACAUGCAAGUCGAACGAGUGGCGGAAGGGUUAGUAAUGCAUGGGAAUCUAACUGAUGGAGGGGGAUAACUACUGGACACGGUAGCUAAUACCGCAUACCAUCGGAUGAGACCAGAGGGGAUUCGCUAGUUGGUGGGGUAAAGGCUCACCAAGGCGACGAUCCCUAGCUGGUCUGAGAGGAUGACCAGCCACACUGGAACUGAGACACGGUCCAGACUCCUACGGGAGGCAGCAGUGGGGAAUAUUGCACAAUGGGCGCAAGCCUGAUGCAGCCAUGCCGCGUGUAUGAAGAAGGCCUUCGGGUUGUAAAGUACUUUCGGCAGGGAGGCGUUACCCGCAGAAGAAGCACCGGCUAACUCCGUGCCAGCAGCCGCGGUAAUUC